rnacentral:lncRNA from 1 species
UUUAGCUUUGCCAUCCACGGAUGGCUUAAGUGUUAAAACAGCUCAGUGAAGUGUCAGUCUUUUUGGGUUCCCACACCCGGUGUAUCCCAAAUUCUUGUCUAGUGUCCAAGAAGUAUCAGGUCACAUGAGCAGAUUGAAGGGUGGUAUAUGCACAGGAUUUCAUUGAGCGAUGGGAGUGGCUCUCAGUGGCAUGGGGAGCUGGAAAUGGGAUAGAGUGGAAAGAUAAUCUUCCCCUGGAGUUCAGCAUGGGAUGGCCAAACUGCUCUCCAACCAUAGUCUCUGAUGUGCAGAGGUUUUUGAAAAGGCAGAAUUCAGGCGUGAAAACAGGGAGUGAAGUUCUCGUUUGGGGCUGCAGGCCCAGGUUUGAGAGCGGAACACUUGCUAGGGACCCCACCCUUUUCUACCUAGUAUUUCCCUGACUCCUGUUUGUGUCAGUGCCAAGGUUGAGAAACCCGCUUCUAAAGCAAUGAUGUCUACA